rnacentral:rRNA from 1 species
UACGUAGGUGGCAAGCGUUGUCCGGAUUUACUGGGCGUAAAGAGCGCGCAGGCGGUCGUGCAAGUCGCGUGUGAAAGCCCCCGGCUCAACUGGGGAGGGUCACGCGAUACUGCUCGACUCGAAGGCAGGAGAGGGAAGUGGAAUUCCCGGUGUAGUGGUGAAAUGCGUAGAUAUCGGGAGGAACACCAGUGGCGAAGGCGGUUGCCUGGAGCUUUGCUGACGCUGAUGCGCGAAAGCGUGGGGAGCGAGUCCG